CAGUCGAGCGAAUGGAUUGAGAGCUUGCUCUCAUGAAGUUAGCGGCGGACGGGUGAGUAACACGUGGGUAACCUGCCCAUAAGACUGGGAUAACUCCGGGAAACCGGGGCUAAUACCGGAUAACAUUUUGAACUGCAUGGUUCGAAAUUGAAAGGCGGCUUCGGCUGUCACUUAUGGAUGGACCCGCGUCGCAUUAGCUAGUUGGUGAGGUAACGGCUCACCAAGGCAACGAUGCGUAGCCGACCUGAGAGGGUGAUCGGCCACACUGGGACUGAGACACGGCCCAGACUCCUACGGGAGGCAGCAGUAGGGAAUCUUCCGCAAUGGACGAAAGUCUGACGGAGCAACGCCGCGUGAGUGAUGAAGGCUUUCGGGUCGUAAAACUCUGUUGUUAGGGAAGAACAAGUGCUAGUUGAAUAAGCUGGCACCUUGACGGUACCUAACCAGAAAGCCACGGCUAACUACGUGCCAGCAGCCGCGGUAAUACGUAGGUGGCAAGCGUUAUCCGGAAUUAUUGGGCGUAAAGCGCGCGCAGGUGGUUUCUUAAGUCUGAUGUGAAAGCCCACGGCUCAACCGUGGAGGGUCAU
rnacentral:rRNA from 1 species